rnacentral:lncRNA from 1 species
GAAAGCAGAGGAUCCGAGGGGGGAAUCGGAGGAGAUGCGUGCGGGGCGGCCGCAUCUGUCCAUCACUUUUUUUUGUUUAUGGUGAAUAAAAGUGCCUCCAUGGUUCAUGAAGGCGCCUUCAGUAAUGUAGCAUAAUGGAAGGGAGAGGGUGGCAUCGCAUCGCAUUCAAUGCGUGCUUUCUCCGUCGUGUCUCUCUUUCUUUUUAAAAAUAAUGCC